UACGGAGGGUCCGAGCGUUAAUCGGAAUUACUGGGCGUAAAGGGUACGUAGGCGGCUUUAUAAGUCAGAUGUGAAAUCCCCGGGCUUAACCUGGGAACUGCAUUUGAAACUGUAUGGCUAGAGUAAGUGAGAGGUUAGUGGAAUUCAAGGCGUAGCGGUGAAAUGCGUAGAGGUCUUGAGGAACAUCAGUGGCGAAGGCG
rnacentral:rRNA from 1 species